AGGCGCCUACGGGGGGCAGCAGUGAGGAAUAUUGGUCAAUGGGCGCGAGCCUGAACCAGCCAAGUCGCGUGAGGGAAGACGGUCCUAUGGAUUGUAAACCUCUUUUGUCGGGGAGCAAAAGACGCCACGCGUGGCGUUCCGAGAGUACCCGAAGAAAAAGCAUCGGCUAACUCCGUGCCAGCAGCCGCGGUAAUACGUAGGUGGCAAGCGUUGUCCGGAUUUAUUGGGCGUAAAGCGAGUGCAGGCGGUUCAAUAAGUC
rnacentral:rRNA from 1 species